CGAGCGAAUCGAUGGGAGCUUGCUCCCUGAGAUUAGCGGCGGACGGGUGAGUAACACGUGGGCAACCUGCCUAUAAGACUGGGAUAACUUCGGGAAACCGGAGCUAAUACCGGAUACGUUCUUUUCUCGCAUGAGAGAAGAUGGAAAGACGGUUUACGCUGUCACUUAUAGAUGGGCCCGCGGCGCAUUAGCUAGUUGGUGAGGUAAUGGCUCACCAAGGCGACGAUGCGUAGCCGACCUGAGAGGGUGAUCGGCCACACUGGGACUGAGACACGGCCCAGACUCCUACGGGAGGCAGCAGUAGGGAAUCUUCCGCAAUGGACGAAAGUCUGACGGAGCAACGCCGCGUGAACGAAGAAGGCCUUCGGGUCGUAAAGUUCUGUUGUUAGGGAAGAACAAGUACCAGAGUAACUGCUGGUACCUUGACGGUACCUAACCAGAAAGCCACGGCUAACUACGUGCCAGCAGCCGCGGUAAUACGUAGGUGGCAAGCGUUGUCCGGAAUUAUUGGGCGUAAAGCGCGCGCAGGUGGUUCCUUAAGUCUGAUGUGAAAGCCCACGGCUCAACCGUGGAGGGUCAUUGGAAACUGGGGAACUUGAGUGCAGAAGAGGAAAGUGGAAUUCCAAGUGUAGCGGUGAAAUGCGUAGAGAUUUGGAGGAACACCAGUGGCGAAGGCGACUUUCUGGUCUGUAACUGACACUGAGGCGCGAAAGCGUGGGGAGCAAACAGGAUUAGAUACNNCUGGUAGUCCACGCCGUAAACGAUGAGUGCUAAGUGUUAGAGGGUUUCCGCCCUUUAGUGCUGCAGCUAACGCAUUAAGCACUCCGCCUGGGGAGUACGGCCGCAAGGNUGAAACUCAAAGGAAUUGACGGGGGGNNCGCACAAGCGG
rnacentral:rRNA from 2 species